GCGGCGUUCCUCAGACGGCGGCUCCGCGUUCAGCCCGCAGCGCCCAGCCGUGCAGCAACCCGCGUCUGAGGAUGGGCUUCAGCUGCGCCCCAGUGCCUUCAUUACAGAGAGGAGAAUGGAGCGCAGCGGGGCAUCUUUCCUCCUGGCAUUUCCCACUGUCUGCAUGUUGGCUGUGCCAUGCGAGCGUCACGAUGUGUUGAACAUCAGAGCGUGCGCGGCGGCACGUGGCUGUGUGCAGUGUUUGCAGGUGAAUGUGCGUUUUGCACGAGUGUUGGCACUUGACUGCAUGCUCACAGGUGUGCAAAGGGAUGGGUUUGCACACGUGUGUGUGUGCGUGAACACGGCUGUGUGCAUCGAGGUCUUUGCACAAGGCUGUGUGGUUUUUCACACAUUUGCAUGCACGUGGAUGCAGUGUGCACACAGGGCUGUGCAAGGAUGUGCUUGCAUGUGUGUGUGAACGCACAGCUGUGUGUGCAGGGAAGUCUUUGCACGUGGUGUGUGGUUCUGCACACUAUGUGCACACAGCUCUGUGUGCAAGGGAGCAGCGGAGGUUCCUGGGAACAGAUUUCUGGGAGAGGUGGAACUCACACGAGAGUGCUGGAGAGCACAGGGCCGGCAGGCACAGCUCCGCAGCACUGCACUGUGCACAGCAGGAUGCACAGCCUGCAGGAUGGCACUGACGGAACCAGGGCACGGCGCCACACCAGGCGCUGCAAAGGAAACACACUUCCUCGACGCACAGCCGGCUGCACGCCUCCUGGGUGUCCUCGCCUCUUUCCUCGAGACGGACUCGAGGCUUUCCUCUGCUGGCUGCAGGGUCCACGCCCGGUAGCUGCCCUGAGCUCCUCCUCGGCACAACAACGAGCGCUUUCCCUUCCUCCAGAGAGAUGUUUGUCCUCAUGACGGCUGUGGACUCCUCCAUGGGCGCUGGCUGACGAAGUGCAUCUCUGCUGGAGGUGCAGCACACCCAGCAGCUGCCCUUUCCUCCUGCCAGCACAGAUGCUGAGCUUUUGGCUGCACCACAGUCUCUCGUCACCUUUGCUUUGCCAUCGAACUGAAUCCUAUUUCUUUGCUGUUCUGCUGGUUGGUUUCAGUUCUUUUUGUUUCUGUUUAUUGUCUCUUUCUUCAUUGGUCACAUUGAUUUGCUUUCCUUUGUUCACUUGGUUUCGUUUUCUUUACUGCUCUUUUGCUUUUCUCUCCAAUGUUUGUUGCCCUUGUAUAUUGCUGCCUUUACUUCUUUUUUGUAUUUCUCUUUUUUUUGUGUUUGCUUUGGAUUUUUUUGUUUGUUCUUUUUUUGUAUUUUUUGUAUUUUAUUAUUGUUUUUCCUUCUAAUCUUUUUUUUUUGUCUUAUUGUCCUCCGUGGAGGAUCGUAAACCUGUAUGCAAUGGUGUAGUGACCUUGUCAGGCCCAAUAACGCGGUGUGCUGCCAUCAGCCAGUCUCUUAAUAAUGGUUUUCGUCCUGGUGUUGUAUUUUUAUGGUAUCAUAGGUUGGAUUUCAAAGGGGUUUGUCUCAGGUGGAGCUUUGAGAUCCAACUUUGAAGCUUUGUUUUCUGAAUCACCCAGGUCCAUUGAUUUAGGAGCCUGGGUAUUUUCUAAUGCAGCGUUCUGCACUUGUUUUAUAGGGGGAAGUCAAGCUUGAUUUCUUUCCUGCUAAUAUGCCGAGUUGCUGCUUUUGUUCUCUAAGGUAUUGUUUGAAAGCUCUGCUUGAUUGAAGGCAAUUAGUGAUGGCCACGGCACAGUGGACGCGGCCAGCUGUCGCUCUUUUGUGAUCAAAAUGUCUUUAUCUAAUCCAUGGAAAUAACCGGAUGAGAGGGGGAAUGAAGAGGGAGAGACACCAGGCACAGAAAACUGGAUUGGUUAAAAGGACAAUUUGAGUUGGGACUGUGUAAGGAUGGGGUUGUGGCAACUCAUAAAAACUGUGGGAUUGAGAGUAACAAGGUUCUUCUUCAGAGAUGCUCACCUUGAGCCGUAAGUCUCAAGAACUGCAAAUAAAUGAGGGUGAAGGACAGACUGAUCCACUGAAAGCAGAAGUCAAAGCUUGAACUGAGAAUGUUGGAGGGGCAGCGGCAUGAUUCCUUCAGCACAAGGUGACAGGAGCUCCACUGCUGCAACGGUUUCUGGAGCCCUGGGUGGGAGCCUGCAGGUGCUGGCCAUCAGAGCCCCUGCCCCAAAGCACCCGGCUGCCAGCAGUGGAUGAGUUCACUGGGACUGUGGGGAUGGGAGGUGCUAACCAGCGAGCCUUCAGUUUCCACUCCUAAAUUCAGGCUUGGGAGCACGCUAAAAAUGGGAAAUAGAUCUGGUGUAGGAAGGGGAUGUCCUCAGCCAAGGUCCUGGAAAACUGGAGGAAAAUGGAUGAAACUGCAGAUCUACCAACAAAAAGGAAAGCACAUGGCGCUUCCCAUGGCGGGUUUGUGGGAAGGUCAGCCUCCCUGUGUUUAUAUUUCAGCCAUCGUUCUCCAUGCUGGAGAGGCUUUACCCAUUGCACGUGCAUGGACAACUUGUGCUAUAGCAUCCUUGAUCCAGACCCCAUUUCCGUACGGCAUCUCUUUCUUAAUGGCCCGUGGUGUCACGGGGGCCCCGAACUGGAAAUAACGCCCUCGUGGUGUCACUGUAAAAGUUUGCCAAGCGAAGCUCUGGUUGCUCCAUCCCUGGAGCUGUUCAAGGCCAGGCUGGGCAGCAUGACCCAGUGGGAGGCAUCCCUGCCCAGGGCAUCGGAGUUGAGCUUCUAAGUUCUGUACCGUCCCUUCCAGCCCAACCCAUUCCGCUGUUCUGCGUUCCUGUGAUGCAAUCCCCCACCCUGGUGCAGUGCACCACAAGCGGAGCAGCCCGUGGGGAGCCUCUGCCCGGCAUCCCAGAGCUGUGAGGUCGCGGUGCCCUGUGCUCUGCUGUGCUGAGCUCUCAAUGCCUGGCUGUGACGCCGUGCCGCAGGCAUCGCUCUGUGCGACUCACUGUGGCUGUGGCGGUGGUGGUGAAAGCAUGGUGCGAGUGUGGGGGACCAUGGCCCCUGCCCGCCUUGUCUUCCUCUUCCUCCUGAUGGCUGUGUGCUUAAGGGAGAUGUGCGCUGCUCCAUGGCGAGCACCGGGAGCAGGUGGGUGGGCAGAGACGGGACCAAACCUGAGCAGCACUGGGGCGAGAAGUCAGGCUGUGUCCCCACGGCCCUGUGCUACUCUUCCCUGGGGCUGCCUUCCGGGGCAGGGGUUGGGGGUUUGGGCAGGGGGUGACGGGCUGCACCGCAGGAGCCGGGCAGGAGCAGCUGGGCAGCGCUGCUCCCCAGGCCUGGCUCCAGCCGUGCCGCCAGGUCGGGCCGUGGCUCUGCUGCUUGCUGGCUGGAGCACAGCCUUCAUCCUGGGAGGGAGGCGUCCUGGGGAGAGCUCAGAAGAUGUGUGCUGGAGACGCAAGAGCGUUUUCUGCCCCAAGCUUGUGGUACUCCCCAUAGAUGACUCCCAGUUUCCAACACAGCCCCGGCCCACAGCCCAGAGGAGGAGACAGAUGUGCUUUCCUCCAGGGCUUCGGUGCAGCCUUCCUUUGUGUGCAUCAGAGCCUUCCCAGUAAGAAAGCCCCGAGGGGCUGCAUCUUCUUCCGUGUGGUCUGUGAGGGAUGCGGCACGUGGCCUGGAGGGAGUCUUGUGUGCCCUGCCAGGUGCCAGCCUGCAGCUCAUCCUGGCCGCUCUGCAACUUUGGAAAUCGGGACCCGAGUCCUUCUCCCAGCCUGUCCCACGACCCACAUCCAGUUACUGCGGGGGAAGGAGAUCACGCCGUGCAGUGGGUCCUUCUCUCGUCUGUUCUUGAUUCUAGAUGAUGAGCUCGGUGCUGUCUUUCUGGAUGACCUCCUGGAUCCAGAUUUCACACCUGUGCCCAAGGCACAACCCAGAGAUAAGUUGUGUCUGUUUCCUAGAAGGCAGAAACACUCAUGCCCUCGUAGUUUACUCGGGUGCAAGGUCUUCCAAGUCUGUCUGUGCCUUGAAGGGCUUGCACAGAUGAGCCUUGAGUGUUUCUUUGCUGAGAGAGCUGCCACAUUUCGGUGGGAAGGUCACCGCUGCCCCUCUUCAGCUGAGAGAGCCCAGAGCUUCGUAUUUGGGCUGUGCCAUUCCGUGACCCACCGCCAGAUCUUACAGGUCUGCCAGUGUUACAAAGGAGGCCCCCGCGUGCAGUGGAAGCUCUCCUCACCUGUGUCUGAUCACACUUGUGCCUGCAGGCCCUGCUGGCGAAUCAGAACGGAAUCCUGUCCAUGAGCCUGAGGGGAAUGCUGGAGAUGUGAGUGGAGGAGGUGAUCCAGCUUCCCCUCUGAGCUCUGAGACCGAAACCCGGGCGGAUGGCAUGGGUCUGGAAAGGGGAAAGGAUGAAUCCAACAGAGGGAAAUUCUCCCAGGGGUCUUACCAUCCGUGAGAGCUGCUGAAGGAAAUGGACGUGGCAGCUCUUGGCACUGGGGAGCACCAGAGAUGGUCUGCUGCCACUUCUGCAUCCAGCCAAGACCCAGGGGCAGCUGCUCCCCCAGCACGACCAUUACUUGUCAGAGCUGCUUUGUGGAGACCCAGAUGGCAGCAAAUGUCAAGUGCGGCGAUUCUGUUAAUACAAAGCCCUCCCUGCAACUGGGCUAGUUCAAGGCAGGAUGAGCAUCCCGAGUAGGGAUGGCUGCCAUUGCUAAUGCUAGAAACCAUGUGCAGAUGUCGAUUCUGAAGGUGUUCCUGUUGGAGCUUGAAUUUCAGCCUGCAAGAUGCCUGGCUGUGAUGGUGGAAUGUGGUGGUUGGUGAUGCUCACAGCACAGCGUGUGAGUGCCUUGCUUAGGAGUUGAUUCCUCAGGAGGCGUGAGAGGGUAGGCACCCUGCAAUUCGUGGGAGUGCCCAAAUGCCCGUGGCAGCAGAGGAGGUCGCAGGUGGAUUUGGGGGGUGGAGGCCAGCAGACUUGGCCUGAGCUCGAGGUUGGGUCAGCUCAGGUGUGCGAUGUGAGAACACAUCUCAUCCGACUGUCCUAUGUCUUUCUAAAGGGAUGAACACAGGCAGCGCAAACCACUGGCAUGCCAGGAGAUUUCUGUCCAGUGUCACCAGAGUCACUGGGUGCCAGCAGGCGCUUCCUGCCUGCUCUUGCACAUCAGGUCAGCAGCUGAACCUGAGCGUGUGAGCGCAGAGCACGUGUUGUAAAAGAGGCCAGGAGCAGCUCUCUGAAAAUGGCUGAGCUCAGUGGGGUGUGGGGAGUUGUGCCAGCCGUGUGCCAGAGAAGGCCUGGCUGAAUGCAGGGAAAAGCACAAAGGCUGCUGUUGGCAGAUCUGUGCGGCAGCGCCACGUGGCAGUGAUGGUGCUGCUCUCAGCUGUGCUGCUGUCUGCGCUGGCGCUGGCCUGCAUCGCUGUGUCGCGGACGUGGAACAAAUGCCUUGUGUGCAAGAGGGGAGAGAGAGCAGCAGAGUGAGCUCAUCCUGACACUGGCUGGGAGGGAAUUCCAGCUGGAGAUGAAGUGGAGAGUGGAGAAGCAACGAGAGAGAUCCUUGCCCAAGCAAACAAGAACCUCAGCAAUAGUUUCAGUCCAUUCCGUUCUGCCAUCCCAGAGGCCAGAGGUGUUCAGACUCGUCUGGAAGACCUGGAGCGUGAACUCCAAGCCAUGAAAGAGGUCCGUGGGAACAGACCUCUGGGUGAGUGCUGUGUGGGUGAGUGCUGCUUCCUGUCAGAGGAUGGCCCUGAAAGUGAGAGCGGAGGAUCAGUGGCAGAGCAUUUGCCCUUCACCCUCUGUUCCCCAGGACGAGUUCGAAGAUUCUUAGCUCGCCACAGCUACCAUCCUUUUGAGGGUUCUAAUGAGGACCCAGAAAGCGAGCUUCCUCUGACUGCUGGACAGCACGUUUAUGUCUUUGGAGAUGUGGAUGAGGACGGCUGGUUUCUGGGAGAGCUGACGGAUGGCACGAGAGGGCUGGUCCCUUCCAGUUUGGUUACAGAGGUUUCAGAUGAUGAGCUGGACACAACGAUGCCUCCCGAGCUCAGUGAUUUCCUGCUGGAAACGGAUGAUUGUGUCGAUGCAAAGAGUCCAUAAUGCAGCAACAUCCUGUCACAAUUCUUGCCUCACUUCAUCUGCAAGACGACCCCCCGCUCCACUUGAUGUUUGAGUGAAGCGUGAGCAGGAUGUGGAUGAGCUCCUCAUGGGAUGAUCUGAGAUGACUGGCAGCGUGACUGCUUGGUUUUAUCGUAUAUUAAAAAAUAGUUUUAAAAACUAACAAGCAGCGCUGUUCUUUUUCUUUUUUGUUGAGGUGACACUUUUUCUAGCUGAGAUUUUGCAACGAGUCUUGAAGCAGAUUUGAACUGGUAGAAGUUGGCCGUGUUUGCAUUCCGUUUUUCCUUCUUUCCUUGCUGAUCAGAGUCAAGCUGCCAUGCAUCCUCUGGCUGGCCUCCUUCACUGUGAAAAGAACCAAGAACUUCUGGCACAGAAGUUUGUCCAUGUGCAAGGCUUAAACUUCGUGCUUCUUCCUUCUCUACUUGGUAAAACUCAGCGUUGGGCUCCUUUGGAGUCUGAGCACUGGUUUCUGGGGCAGUCCUUAGCUAAAGGCUGGAGUGCCUGUAUCAGCUGUGGCGGUGCAACUCCCACGCCCCACGUUCUCCCCUUCUGCCA